rnacentral:rRNA from 1 species
GAUGAACGCUGGCGGCGUGCCUAAUACAUGCAAGUCGAGCGAACGGACGAGAAGCUUGCUUCUCUGAUGUUAGCGGCGGACGGGUGAGUAACACGUGGAUAACCUACCUAUAAGACUGGGAUAACUUCGGGAAACCGGAGCUAAUACCGGAUGAUAUUUUGAACCGCAUGGUUCAAAAGUGAAAGACGGUCUUGCUGUCACUUAUAGAUGGAUCCGCACUGCAUUAGCUAGUUGGUAAGGUAACGGCUUACCAAGGCAACGAUGCAUAGCCGACCUGAGAGGGUGAUCGGCCACACUGGAACUGAGACACGGUCCAGACUCCUACGGGAGGCAGCAGUAGGGAAUCUUCCGCAAUGGGCGAAAGCCUGACGGAGCAACGCCGCGUGAGUGAUGAAGGUCUUCGGAUCGUAAAACUCUGUUAUUAGGGAAGAACAUACGUGUAAGUAACUGUGCACAUCUUGACGGUACCUAAUCAGAAAGCCACGGCUAACUACGUG